rnacentral:rRNA from 1 species
AUUGAACGCUGGCGGCAGGCCUAACACAUGCAAGUCGAGCGAGCGGCGGACGGGUGAGUAAUGUCUGGGAAACUGCCUGAUGGAGGGGGAUAACUACUGGAAACGGUAGCUAAUAACGCAUACCAUCAGAUGUGCCCAGAUGGGAUUAGCUAGUAGGUGGGGUAACGGCUCACCUAGGCGACGAUCCCUAGCUGGUCUGAGAGGAUGACCAGCCACCCUGGAAGUGAGAAACGGUGCAGAGUCCGACGGGAGGCAGCAGUGGGGAAUAUUGCACAAUGGGCGCAAGCCUGAUGCCGCCAGGCCGGGUGUAUGAAGAAGUCCUUCGGGUUGUAAAGCCCUUUCAGCGAGGAGGCGUUGCUAGCAGAAGAAGCACCGGCUAAGUCCGUGCCAGCCGCCGCGGUAAUAC